rnacentral:rRNA from 1 species
UACGUAGGUGGCAAGCGUUGUCCGGAUUUACUGGGUGUAAAGGGCGUGCAGCCGGAGAGACAAGUCAGAUGUGAAAUCCACGGGCUCAACCCGUGAACUGCAUUUGAAACUGUUUCCCUUGAGUGUCGGAGAGGUAAUCGGAAUUCCUUGUGUAGCGGUGAAAUGCGUAGAUAUAAGGAAGAACACCAGUGGCGAAGGCGGAUUACUGGACGAUAACUGACGGUGAGGCG